rnacentral:rRNA from 1 species
AACGAACGCUGGCGGCAUGCCUAAUACAUGCAAGUCGAACGAACACUUCGGUGUUAGUGGCGCACGGGUGCGUAACGCGUGGGAAUCUGCCCUUGGGUUCGGAAUAACAGUUAGAAAUGACUGCUAAUACCGGAUGAUGACGUAAGUCCAAAGAUUUAUCGCCCAAGGAUGAGCCCGCGUAGGAUUAGCUAGUUGGUGAGGUAAAGGCUCACCAAGGCUACGAUCCUUAGCUGGUCUGAGAGGAUGAUCAGCCACACUGGGACUGAGACACGGCCCAGACUCCUACGGGAGGCAGCAGUAGGGAAUAUUGGACAAUGGGCGAAAGCCUGAUCCAGCAAUGCCGCGUGAGCGAUGAAGGCCUUAGGGUUGUAAAGCUCUUUUACCCGGGAUGAUAAUGACAGUACCGGGAGAAUAAGCCCCGGCUAACUCCGUGCCAGCCGCCGCUGUAACAC